CUGGAGGGAUUGCCCAGUGGCUAAGAGCACAGGCUGCUCUUCCAGAGGUCCUGAGUUCAAUUCCCAGCAGUUCACAAUCACGUGUAACUCCAGUUCUAGAGGAUCUGAUACUCUCUUCUUGUCUCCAAGGACACCAGGCAUGCAUUCGGUACAUAGACCCACGUGCAGGCAAAGCACCCAUACACACAAAAUAAUAAAAGGCAAUUUAAAAAGAAACUAUAAAAAAGCAUUGCCUGUGAAUUCAGACAUUAGUUUUAUUUACGCUUAUAGACGAGCAAUCUGGAGAAGAGAUAAAAGUCCCCUCGUUUUAUUUCCAGGAGACAACAUUGAAUUAAACCACAUGGCUCCAUUGUUUGUCCAUGUGUGACUCAACUCUUGUCAGACUGUUCCCCAGUUCUGUCUGUCUGUCUGUCUCUCUCUCAAACACACAUACACACACACACUCACAAUACUUACACACACUCACAUAUACUCAUUCAUAUCCACACACAUGCUCACAUACACUCACUCUCACACACACACACAUGAUGAGAUGAUAAUGGAAACCUUCAGAGACCCUGGCACAAAAAAUAAAAACCAAAAGUCUAAACUAAACCAAACACCCUGAGAAUCAGUGCACCUAAGGACUAGAAAUCAUAUCAAAUAAAAAGAAAACAAAGUUGUACAGGCAAAACCCAGUGAAAAGUGAACAUGCAAAUCUGAAGGAAGAAAUCAAUAGAAUUCAAAUGAAAAAUGCAGUAAUC
rnacentral:lncRNA from 1 species